UACGUAGGUGGCAAGCGUUGUCCGGAUUUACUGGGCGUAAAGGAUGCGUAGGCGGAUAUUUAAGUCAGAUGUGAAAUACCCGAGCUUAACUUGGGUGCUGCAUUUGAAACUGGAUAUCUAGAGUGUGGGAGAGGAAAGUGGAAUUCCUAGUGUAGCGGUGAAAUGCGUAGAGAUUAGGAAGAACACCAGUGGCGAAGGCGACUUUCUGGACCAUAACUGACGCUGAGGCAUGAA
rnacentral:rRNA from 1 species